GGUGGGGAUAUUGUAUGUUGUAGAUGUAGAUCUAACUGUAUUAGAUCUACAUCUACAACAUACAAUAUUCCCACC
rnacentral:pre_miRNA from 1 species